UUUGUCGUCGUUCGGGGGUGGCCGCGAGCCUGCGACGAACCGGACGGCGGCGAGCUGCUCGCGGUGAAGUGAGCAGGCGGCGUCUCCGUGGAGGUGCAGCUACGCGGGAGGGGCUCACCCUCGCCUCGCUCUGCUCUCCGCAAAUGCUCCCCUCAGUCUCCUGCCUCUGCUUCCGCGCCGUGGCGGCGAGUACCAAAUCUUCCCCGAGUUCGCGCUGGGUAGCUUUCUCGCUGGCCAGAUGGAGAGGAACGGAGGCGGUCUCAAGGAAGGCACCGUACGGGAGUCUGCAGCGGAUGUGCCCAGGGGCCUCAUGCACCUCCACGGCGAGAUCAAUUGGAGGAAAGUGUUUAUCAGAGCGGAAGGCUGGCCCAAGCGCACGAACUUCGGCUAUGCGAGGAUCAUGGAUUCGGCGGGCGUUCAUGGCGCUUGAGGUGGCGCACAAGGAGGAGCAGGACGACCCGUUGAUAUUUGGAUUUGGCGGUGCGCCUUACGACGCAAGCCGACCCGCGUCCGUGGAGGCCUGCUUCCGCGGCGGCAGCGCUCAACCAAGGUGAGGUCGAUAAGAGGGGCUCCUCCAUGUCAAUUUCCGAGGGGGCCGCCCCAUUCCUCUCCUCGCAAGGGGAGAUUGACCGCCGGCAUCUCCGUCUGGCUCCCUCCUCCUCUUCAAUCUACGGAUCCAGGCCACUCCAUUCUGGUCCUGGAAGUAAUUGGGACCUUCUUCCAUUAAACUUGGUGGAGCUGGUGUACCGAUCUGUUCCCUCUCUCUCUUCUGGGACGAUAUGUUGAAUGUUCGGAUGCAGAACAUUCUGGGACGAUGUGUAUUAGUGCCCUCCACAUGUUUGUUGUUAUGUUUGUUUCAACUGAAACUAUUUUUUUAGGGUUCUCUGGUGGUCUUUCCUCUAGGCUGCACACAUACUGAUCCAUACAGGCUGCUAUCUUCUUCUCAUACAUGCAUGCUAAAAUGCAUGUAAUUAAUUUGGAUGCAUAUCAGCAAUGGAGAGUGAGAGUGAGGGGUCAAAAGCAUUCAGGUGAUACAUUGUUGAUUUAAAGAGGCAUGGAAUUCACCGUUGGUACUGUAUGCACUUCGAUUGCUUUUUAGCAUGUUUAUCUGUACACAUACAUCAGGUACAAGUUUGAUGCAUUAGGGAAGCUACCGGUUCACUUAUAUGGUUAACAUUAAAUACAUAUAGUUUGGAUGCAAUAUAUUUGAUCAUUUUGUUUUUAACCUUUCAUGUUUUUGAAGUUGUAGACGUAAAGCAAUCUAACUACACAGGCUGAUUAUAACUUAUUUCAUACAAUUACAGUUGUGUAUAAUUCGUAGGGAAAAAGCAUAUAUACUGUAUACAUGCAUGUGAGUGUCUAAAGCUUUUGCGUGUCAAGAUGGAUUGGUUGUGAAGAUGCUAUAUUUUGAGUGGUAGAAUUUUUUCAGUAUGUGCUGAUUGCGAUGCUUCGGCUUGACAAUGUUAUCUAUUUCUUUUCCGUCAGUUAGCAUAUCUACUGUGUAUGCUGCAACAUGCACACUCGAGGUGAGCUGCGUCAGCGCACUAUGUGAACAUGUCGUGCAACAGUUUAAGCGACUACAUUCAAGAAUUCUGUGUGAUCUCUUGGUGGCGUCCAUGUAUGAGGACCUUCAGAUUUGGGACGAUAGACACCUUCAGUGAAAAUAGGAGUAAGGAUUGGACCAAAGAAAGAAGUGCGCGAACCUGCUACCAGAGAGCGCAUAAAGGGUUUGGAGUAGAGGCAGGAUGCGCUGCGGAUGGAGCAGCAAAAACUCUUUAUUCGUCUAGCAUCUCGAGGAAAUCACCAAAUGGGUUUGUUCUCGCCUGUCAAGAUAGUCUUGCCUUAGCCUGCACUACUGCAACUUCUUCGACCAUGGAAUGGGCUCGAAAGGCCUCAGCCUGCCCUAUUGCAACUUCUUCGACCAUGGAAUGGACGUGGAAGAAAGUAUAUUGGCUUUACACAAGCAACACUGAAAUAAUCGAUGUACCAUAUGACAGAAGAAGAUGAGACUAGCUAAAGUAGUAUUUGUGCAUGAGGCAGAACUU